AACUUCCCCUGUCUUCUCGCUGAAGAAACCUAAAAAAGAUCGAAGCACAAUCCACUCGAAAUCAGUGGAGCGGACGAAGACCUCCGAAGCUCUUCGCCCGUGGCGGUGCCCUCCACACAGGCCAAGUCGCCCGUGAGCUCGCCUCUGUCCUCAAUCCCAGCUCUCCGUGGUUCUCUGUAGCUUUGCUUUGUCGUCUCGUUUGGAGCGUCAAUCGGAGCUCGGAGCUCAGGGUUAGUUCGAGAUAAGGAUUUCACUAUUUACUUUAAUCUAUGAAGGAGCACUGUAAUUUGGAUAGCUUUAGAGUUACGGACAAUGGUGCCAUCUCAUGCAGUGAUAGGCCAUUGAAUCAUCUGAGUAAUGGCAGAGAGAGCGAAAAUCUAGAUGUUGAACUUUUGUCUGAUUUGGAAUCUUAUUGGCAAGAUAUCAAUGAUAGACUUACCAUUUCAAGAAUGGUGAGCGAUUCUGUCAUCAAGGGCAUGGUGAGUGCAGUGGAGCAAGAGGCUGAGGAGAAGAUUGCUGAAAAACGGUUGGAGAUAGCUGGACUGAAGGAAACAUUACGUGCAUAUUGUACUGUGGAGGACAGGGUUAAGCUUUCGCAUAUUCCAUUGUCACUGUUGAAUGAGGGGAAUACCCAACAGGACUCAUUUUCAGUCAUCUCAAACCCUCAUGAAGACCAUGACAAGAAUUUGGAUUUUCUGAGGAGCUUUAUAAGUGAAGUGAAAGAGCAGCUAGCAAAACUCCAAAAAGAGGUAAACAACGUUAAAGGUGGAAAUUGUUGUAGGAGGAUUAAUUCAGGUGGUGAGUUGGUAGGGUUGGGUAGUAUCUUGCUGGAGGAGGUGUCUGAAAGAUUGAUUGGUGUGGAUAGUACGUUUGGUGGUCUUCAGAGUACACUAGAUUCUUUCUUCAGCCAGCUGAAGGAUAUGGUUCACAUUCGUGAGAUGCAGCAGGAAUGGGAAUUAACAGCAGAAAUUGAGGCCAUUGUGAUAACCGAGUACAUCAGGAGCCUUCAUAGUGAGUUUGAGAGGAAGCUUUGGGAUCUUAACAGUUAUUCUAGCAGUUGUGAAAACCUCAGUUCCCUGAAGAAGUUGAAAGAAAUUACAGCUCUACGUGAGGAACUGGUUAUGCUUUCUAACCUGUUGUCCAGUAAUGAUAAUGGGCAGCUAGUUUCUCAAGUGUCCUUGGAGGAUGGUGAAGAGUGUUUGAUCAAUAAAAAAUCUGAUAACUUGAUUCGGAAACUGUCGGGUAACCAUUUGCCAUCAGCUUCUCCCUGGGAGGGUAGUGGCAAGCAUGAUGAGCGGAUAAUCUCCAUGCCAGAGAAUUUGGAUCCGGCACAACUAAAACAUAUGCCAAGAGAUGAACUGAUAAGUUAUUUCAAGAGUGAGAUGACCAAAAUGAAAAGAUACUAUGAGUCCAAGGUGCAGGAAAAGACUGAAGAGGUUUUUACUCUCAAGCGAGAAUACUUGAAGGAAAGAGGAUCUUCAUCGACCGUCAGAAAGGACAAGGAAUUUGAAGGAUUGAAGAGAAAAAUCCCUGAGGUAGUCUUGAAGUUAGAUGACAUUCUGAUGGAAACUAACAGCGUGCCUCAAUCGAAUGGUGAUGCUGGCAGUUUAGGCACUUUGAGGGAGAGAUUGGAAGAUCUUCUGGCUGAAAAUCACCGGCUAAGAGGCAUUCUUUCUGAUAAGAAAAAAGAGGUGAAGUGUCUUCUCUCACAACUUUCUGAUGACGCAAAGCAAAUCUCUUCUCAUUCUUCCGCUGAGGCAAAACUGUUGGAAGUGAUUAGGAAUCUCACAUGUAAACAGGAAGAUGCACAAGUUGAAGCUUCCAUUUCUGAAGAGGUAUACAAAUGUACUAUCAAGGAGAUGAUGGCACACAUGCAACAUAUUUCUGGCAAUUUGUAUAAUCAGAAAAGUAUCAGGGAAGAUGUUCAUGAAAUUGCUCAUGUUGCUGAUUGUUCAUGCCAAUCUGAAUUUGAGAAUUUGAAUAUGGAUUCUGUUAUGUUACAAGGGUUGGAUAAUUUGAUAUUUGCAGAAGUUUUGAAAGAUGCUAAGGAGAAAUUAUGUCACUUGAAUGAUUCUUAUAUUAAUGAAAUGAAGCUCCGAGUUUCACUUGAAUUGGAAGCAAUGGAAAGAGAAAGAUCACUGGCAUCUAAAAUUUCGGAGAAUGAAAAGCUAAAGCAGGAGAUGACACAGUUGGCAGUGUUGGUGGAAGAAAAGGAGAAAUUAGCGCAGGGAACAGCUAGUGAAUUGUCUAUACAGAUGAAACAUUGCGAAAUAAUUUCUCAAGAGCUUGACCAAUUGAGAGCCGAAUCAAGUAGACAGCAAACCCUAAUUGCAGAGAUGAAUGAAAAAUCAGAACUCAUGAAAGGUAACCUUGCUCAAGGACUUGAGCAAAUCAAAACAUAUGAAACGGAGUUUAACAAUCUGAAUGAGAAGUUAAGUUUAGCAGUCAAAGACUUGAGUAAAGCUAAUGAGGAGAGAGGCUUGUUUCUUGCGGUUAUUCAAGAGAAGGAGAAUGGUUUACAGUUGCUUAGAGUUAAAGAAAGAGAGAAUUUGAAACAGCUUGAGUCAACGACUGGAACUAUCCAUGAAUUGCUGAAGAAAGUAGCUGACUUGGAACAGUGUAUAUCAGAAGAUAUUCAGAGGAAAAACAUGAGGUUGGGUACUGUGGAGUCCCAACUGAGUUCCCUUAAGCAGAAGGCUGUUGCACUUGGAAGAAUGGGAUCUAUUUACAAGCAGAGACUUGAAAGAAGAUGUUCAGACCUCCAAAAAGCUGAAGCUGAGGUCGAUCUCCUAGGAGACCAGGCGGAUACACUUUUGAAUCUCCUGGAGAAAGUUUAUAUUGGUUUGGAUCACUACUCUCCAAUCUUGCAACAUUAUCCUGGAAUUAUGGAGGUCCUGAAGCUUGUUAAAAGAGAGUUGACUGGGGAAUCGUUAAAGUUAAUUUGACAGACUGUCCGAUAAGUCGAUGCUUCAAACAGAAGCUCAGACUGAUAAAACACUACAGGUAUAAUUCUCCUUGUUGUUUGCUGAUCCCAUGCUCUGGUCUCCUUCUACAGCAUCCGUGUCUUUUGUCACUGUGGCAGUUUUGCAGCACCUCCAAAGUCAACAACUCGUCGCACUGCUGCAAACAUGGAUCUUUUCUGUGGAUGGUAUGCCUUUUUUAAAUUAUUAUAGGGAAGAUUAGGAUGUCAUACGACAAAAUGGCUUCUGAGGAACAAGGCGACAUGUAGAUGUCUAGCAUAGAACCGUGUAAAUUUAAGGAAGAAACUAGGAAGAUGCCAGCCGAUUUUUGUUGUACAGAGUGGAUGCAUAUUUUGGGUUGUCGGAUAGUGUCCUUUGCCCGUGGAGCCAAAUCUUCAGCUCCAUCUUGUCUUUUUGUUUUUUGUUUUGUUCUACACUAGCUUAUGCAGGGUCUUCACCUUUUCUCUUUUCCUUAUGCAGUGUACGAAAACGUAGAUUAGAUAGCUCCUGCGAUUUGAUGGAUUUUGCUUCUGGUAAAUUACUUGGGCAAAAUUUCAAGUUUGGCUAUCUAUUUGCAUUUCAACUUCAAAAUAGACAAUUCCCAUCCUGAGGUUUCACACUACAUUUCAAAUUACACCUGCAGUUGAUCCAUAUUGUAGUAAUGAAUUUCCAUAUUGCGCCAUUUCUUUCCAAAACUA